ensembl:lncRNA
UAUAUAUAUAUAUAUAUGCAAAUCAAAGUUGAGUUGCUCCAAAAAAAAAGGCUGUUAGGCAGAAAAUGUAGCUCGCCAUGAUAGGUUGUUUUAACAGUUAUAGCAUAAAGAGAAAAUAAAUAAAUCAACAGGUUCGGAGUUGCUUCAGUUCACCAAUUAUCCUCAAAAAGAUUAUGCUGAUUUUUACGGUAACAUGGGCACGGACAGCAGAACAGAUGCAGUGGUGGAGGCCAAAGCAUCUCCUGUCACAGCCGGCUUAUCAACAGAUGCCCCUUUGUCGCUCUCUGCCAUGAGAUCACUGUGAAGCUCGAGCUUAGCGAUAUCGGUUUCGGUCCCCCACACGAGUGGAGGUUGUCAGAUGCAUCUGCUGUCCUGGUGUUUGAUUGCAAGUGAUUUUCCUAUCGGACCAAAGCACUCACGCAGCAGAGAAAGACAUGGAGAUCGACUGAGAGAUUCCUUUAAAACAAACAGGCUCACUAGGAGAGCGUCUUCAAAGACUUGGACUGUGUGUCACCAGUAUGAGGCUUGGCAACUGUCGAUAGGGCUGGUGAACAAAAUCAGGUCCCGGUCCUCUCAUAAAUGGGGAGGCUGUGUUGCCUCCUGCACAGUCAACGGGGAGGACGCCGUCUUCAAGCGGAGAACCGGACUCGCCAUGAGGAGAGCGCGCGGAGCGUCCGGCCGGCCGGAGCCGCCGCGCAGGUAGCGAGGGCGCAGCCGGACGACGAGCGCGAUUCGCCGCCGAGCCCAAGGACGUACGAGGCGGCCAGACUCAGCCGA